ACGGAAGGCAGCAGUGGGGAAUAUUGCACAAUGGGCGAAAGCCUGAUGCAGCGACGCCGCGUGAGUGAAGAAGUAUCUCGGUAUGUAAAGCUCUAUCAGCAGGGAAGAAAAUGACGGUACCUGACUAAGAAGCCCCGGCUAACUACGUGCCAGCAGCCGCGGUAAUACGUAGGGGGCAAGCGUUAUCCGGAUUUACUGGGUGUAAAGGGAGCGUAGACGGUUUGGCAAGUCUGAAGUGAAAUGCGGGGGCUCAACUCCUGAACUGCUUUGGAAACUGUCGAACUAGAGUGCAGGAGAGGUAAGUGGAAUUCCUAGUGUAGCGGUGAAAUGCGUAGAUAUUAGGAGGAACACCGGUGGCGAAGGCGGCUUACUGGACUGUAACUGACGUUGAGGCUCGAAAGCGUGGGGAGCAAACAGGAUUAGAUACCCUGGUA
rnacentral:rRNA from 1 species